rnacentral:rRNA from 1 species
UGGGGAAUUUUGGACAAUGGGGGAAACCCUGAUCCAGCCAUCCCGCGUGUGCGAUGAAGGCCUUCGGGUUGUAAAGCACUUUUGGCAGGAAAGAAACGUCAUGGGUUAAUACCCCGUGAAACUGACGGUACCUGCAGAAUAAGCACCGGCUAACUACGUGCCAGCAGCCGCGGUCAUACGUAGGGUGCAAGCGUUAAUCGGAAUUACUGGGCGUAAAGCGUGCGCAGGCGGUUCGGAAAGAAAGAUGUGAAAUCCCAGAGCUCAACUUUGGAACUGCAUUUUUAACUACCGGGCUAGAGUGUGUCAGAGGGAGGUGGAAUUCCGCGUGUAGCAGUGAAAUGCGUAGAUAUGCGGAGGAACACCGAUGGCGAAGGCAGCCUCCGGGGAUAACACUGACGCUCAUGCACGAAAGCGUGGGGAGCAAACAGG